rnacentral:lncRNA from 1 species
GAUUUAUAAUACUCUAGAUUGCGCCUUACGAUCUUAAAAUGGGUGACGGUUGCGACAGAGAUAAAUGAGCCUAUUUGGUCGGUAGUCUCUUUCUAAUUCAAGGGGAGUAUCGACGACGUCACUAUCCUACUCUGUCGUCGAGUAUUUUAGAUGGUUUGACAGUUCGAGCGGAUGGCGACGAGAACUGGUCGUUUGUCUUCGGACGUGGAUAAUCCUGGUUCGAAUCCCAUACCAAUCUUUACUUUUUUUAUUUUUUAUUUAAUCAAUAUUGCGUUUAUUAGAUAUUAUUACAUCUCUAAAAUAAAUCUAUGCAAAGAAAUAUAUAUAUAACAAAUAAGAAAAACUGUGUAGGUACCUAUAGAUUUUUAAAAAUAUAAAAGCCAAUGUUAUUUUUUUUAAUAAGUUAAUGGUAGAAUAGUAUAAAGUAGGUAAUUAAAACUAUUCGUAAAAAAUUACCAAUAAUUAAUAAAUAUCAACAUAAUGUACCAUCGAUUUAUUAAUUGAAUCGGUCAUUUCAAAAACAACACGAGUCACAUAUUCCUAAUUUUACAGAAGAGCAAAGAAAACUUAACUAUGUAGUCGAAAGAUGGAUGAAAUGGAUGACAUCAAAAUUCAGAGUUAUAUUGUAGUUUUGUUCCUAAUGUUUUUACUGGACUGGUGUCGUUUUUGCACACAACGUUUAUCUUAAAGUAGUCUAUUCCUCUCAAAAAGUUAGUUUCUCAAAAUUGUGGACUUUGCUGUUUUUGAAAUGACCGAUUAAAUUAUAAGUAAUUAGACAUUAUUUUUAUUUAUGAAACUAUUGUUACAAUUUUUUAAAAAAGUAGAAGCCAAACAAAUAUUAUUCACAUCAUUCGAAUAAGGACGAAUUUAUAUUAACAACGAAUGACUUUUAUUUUACUAUGCAGUUCACAAAUUAUGUAUUCCAAUAUUAACUUACUAUACAUAGGUACAUUUAUUAUCUGCUAGAUUAACUUAGGUCCAUUUUUCAGAUGUAAAAAUAUCUAAUAAACACAAUAUUGAUUAAAUAAAAAUAAAAAAGGUAAAGUUGGUAUGGGAUUCGAACCACGAUUAUCCACGUCCGAAGACCUAAGACCAUUUCUCGUCACCACCCGCUCCAACUGUCAACACAUAUUACUCGAUAAAGUGGGAUAGUCACGUCGUCGAUAUUCCCCUUAAAUUAAAAAGAGACUACCGACCAAAUAGGCUCAUUUAUCUCUGUCGCAACCGUCACCCAUUUUAAGAUCGCAGGGCGCAAUCUAGAGUAUUAUAUAUCUAUGCUUGGAGCUUAAAAGUUACAAAACUAAGGUUAUGUUUUAUGUUUUUAUCGUCGUGGUCGUUUGUUUGUCCUAGUAUUUUAUCCUAUUUUGGAUUCAUUUGGAUUUUGUUGGCUGUUUUGUGUGUAUUUUUUAAAACUUUUGUUUGUCAUUUGUAAAUUUUAUAAAUUUACCACAAUGCAAAGUGACUAUUUAAGGAAAUUAUUAUUGGAAACUCCGCAGAUGUUUUAGAAAGAUAUUCAUUGAAGCUGAAAAUAAUUGGAGAUUUAGAUCCAUAUACAAUUCAGUCAUCAGAAUUGGAUUUUACAGUGCAUUCCAUCAAUUAAUGCUAUUAUAGAUAGACUGGUAGAGUCUCACAGUUACUACUUUAAGCAGCAGAUGAAAGCAUACAAAAGCCUUCAGACACAUAAAAGACUUCACAACUGGAUUUGUUUUGAAACAUUUGAUGUUUUGAUGAUUUCUAUAUUAUUGUUGGAAAGGUGAAAAAUUCCCAAAAAGCUAAUGCUAAACCACUAGAUGCUUGGGUGAUAGCCAGUUCCAAUGGCAUAGCAAAUGCACAUUGUAUGUGUAUUGCCGGUAAUAGUGAAGUUUGCAGCCAUAUUGCAGCAAUCUUAUUUGCAGCUGAGUAUGCCCACAGCAAGACAGAAGAAGAAGAACCCAGUGCAUGUACAGAUGUUACAGCUAUGUAUAUUCUCUGGUGAAAAACUAAUGAGUUUUCAAGCUGUUCGGUCAGAGUGCUUGUUGCGCUCUCUAAACGAACUGAAAUAUAAGACGGCUUUGGCUUCAUGUUGCAGCGAUAUGAAAAUGGUUAGUCAUUUUUAAUUAUAAUGUACUUCUUCAUCAUGAGUAUUUAUGUAUAGGGCUUUUCAUUCACAGUCAUUUGUUUCGAGCUUCUGUCAUGUGUCACAUAAUAUUAAUAUUAUAUCUAUGUCAUACGUUAUUGGUAUAUACCAAUGAUACACACCAAAGACAUAUGGUGUGUAGAUAUAUUAAUAUUAUGUGACACAUGACAGAUGCUCGAAACAAAUGACAGUCGAUAAAAAGCCCUAUUAGUCUUUUAAGUGUGUAUUAUCAGAUAUCACAUGUAAAUUGUUUUUAUCAUUUUAAUUUGGUCAUUACAGUCCCUUAAUCAAAAAAUAUAUUUUUCAGGUGUCUGUGGAUCUUUUUGUAUGCAAAAAUGUGUAAUAAUUAUUUGAAAUCAUUUUGAGGAUUAUAAGAGUAUGGAAAUAUAUGUGAGAACACAGACUAUUAUAGUUUUGUCCUAUUUUUUAUCAUUCAAUCGUCUUCUUUAAAAUAUAUAAAUAUAAAGCAGAUAGUUUUCAUUGAAAUUCAAUAUAUUGGGUCUUACUUGUAUGUAUUCAUUUUUGACUAAAGGUACGAUUCCGAUAACGACUGCAGACAGCAACUGCAAACAUCAGUUGCAGUUCUCGGCGUUAUGGACGUUACUACUUUGCACUAUUUAUCUGUAUGAGACUGAUUCCGACAUCUGACUGCAACUGCUGUCUGGCAGAACAUCAGUUGCUAAUAAUUAUGCAAAUUAUUAGUGCAAAAUAAUUACGUCUGUCAUGGUGACAACUGUAACUGCCAUCUGCAGUCGUUAUCGGAAUCGUACCUUUAAAGUGUGUGGUAUAAUUAUAAUAAUUAUAUAUAUUAUAUAACUUAAAUGGUUUAAACUUAAGUUUGUUAUUACAUUGUGACUUAAAUGUUUAAUUUGUUAAUAAAUGAUUUAUUAGUU